CUUCCUUUUUCCAGUUCUACAAUCCGAAAUAGUGCAUUCAGCAUGCUGGAUUUUCCUGCACCAGUUCUUCCAACUAUCCCUAUCUUUUCACUUGGAGAAGUAGUAAAUGACAAUCCACAUAAGACUGGGGGAAGUUCGGGCCUAUACCGCAGGACAACAUCCUCAAACUGAAUUGAACCAGAUGAAGGCCAACCAGGUGGAGGACGGUGACUCUCAAUUACAUCUGGAGCCUCUGAAAGCAAAUUGAUAUAUGAACCUACACGUUCCACAGCAUUUAAGCUAUUCUCAGCUUGACUUGCUUGUCUUAAAACACCACUCAAUAAACUAGUGAUAUUUAAAGAAUAGCUCAGAAGUAGACCCAUCGUGGACGCAAAUGCUGCCUGGUUUUCAGCUUUUCCAUUUUGCAGAACUGCAAAGGUUGCUGUCAACCAAAUCAUAAGGCCUCCUAACGUUUCUAACCUUAUUGUGAGCCAACGAUUUGAACUUGAAUUUGCAAGGGUGAAUCUGAUAUUGUUAUCCAUGGAUUUGCCAUUAACCUUAGCAACCCGUUCAUAAGCUUUGUACGCACGAAUGGAUGACAGACCAUUUAAAGCUUCUCCAAAUUGUGCAUAAAUAGGCGAUCUGGUAAUCGAAUCUAAGCGUUUCACUUCACGAGAUGUCAUCUGCCAUUGCAAAUGAUCAUUGAGACUUGUCCGGAGCAAAGAUGCAUUAAGUUUGGAUAGACAACUUUAAAAUUUCAAACAAAUUUGAAAUUAAAGUAUUUUAAAUACAUCAUUUCAAAAUGCUAAUAUUUGUAAUUAUUUUGUUUAGAUAAAUAAUUUAAAGAAAAUUAAGUUUUGGAAUUUCAUGAUUAAAAAAAUUAUAAAGAAAAUUAGUGGUAUUCAAAAAAUACAUAUAUGUAUGGAAAAUUAUGCAAUAUGGAUAUCAUUAGAAUUGUAAAAAUAUGUCAAUGUUAUUUUGACAAUAUAAAAUAUAUACUAACAUUAAUAAAAUGAUUUCGUGGUUUAAUUUUUUUAUUUUGUAGUGAGGUCAUGUGAAUUAAAAAAGAAGAUUUUGAAUGAAAAUUUUGAGUUGCUUGAAUUCAUUUUUGAAAUUCCAAGUAAAAUUUGAAAGUCCUUAAUUUUACACACAGACACAAAAAAAAAAAUCAUUUUUGGUAUUUUCAACACAUUGUUAGAAAUGAAAUCCCUUUUCUAAAUUAUUCAUCCACACACACACUAAAUGAAAGGUAAUAAUCACCAUAAUAUUUUGAAGUGCAUGCAACAGAGGUAGAACACUUGCUUAUUUUAGACCCAAGUUGGAAACUAAAUUAUCCACAAAAUGAAUGCACCCUAUGAUGGUGGAAAGUCAAUGUGCUGUGCAUUCUCAACACUUAAGAAACAUAAAAACCCAAGGCUUAAAACAGAUGAGAAACUGAAAAUUAUUGGACAUACCUGAUAAUAUAGAUAGGCUGCAUAAAACAAGAUGAGAAGUGGCAUUAUCGCCCACAAUGAAAAUAUGCUCACGAUGCCUAUCAGUGCAAAUGUCGAGAGAAGCUGCCACAACUGAUUCAUAAACAUAUUCAUGAAAUUAGCAACAGUACGAUCUAUAUCACCUAGAUCUCUUGAAAACCUAUUGAUUACACGCCCAGUGGGAUUGGUCUGGAAAAACAACAUUGGAGCUCUUAGGAUGGAGUUUAGCAUCAUAUCAUGUAAUCUUCUAGCUGCACGAAGACUUGAAGUGAUCAACCAAAAAGAGUUUGUCAGCGUCACAGUUACCUGAAUUCAUUAAAAUGGUAAAUAACUCAUUAUAAUAAGUACUAAAAUGGAAGGUAAAAGAGGGUAUAAUCAUAAUCUGUCAUUACAGCAAGUGCAAAUGAAUACCAAUGUAAAUCAUCUAUUAGCUACAGAAAAAGAAACGCUUACCUGACUAAAUCCUAGGAGACCAUAUAUGACAAUGUAGUACCCAGGGUGAUAACUACUUGAAGUACUUUGAUCUGUCCAAAAGCGUAACCAAGUGCUGCUUGAGAUUCUAAGAACUUCAGUAGAAAAGUAGAAUGUAAAGAGUAUCAUUACCACCCAUAGGCCGCCUAGAGCAUCCUUAUACCUGCAAAAUGAAAAUCAGUCCUAUGCUCAUAUCGAAUUGAAUUGAUAUAACUUCUAAUUUCUUCAGGGUUUCCAUAUGAAUUAAUAAGUUGUUCAUCGCGUUUUACAUGUGAGUUCAAAUGUAGAAGAGUUAAAACUCAAGAAGAACAAAAGAGCACUGCCAUAAGUCCAAUGGGCAAAACUUUUAGCAAAUGAUCAGUGAAAAGUAGGUAUCAUUUGUAGGAUGCAAGACACUACUAUUGUACUACUUUUUCAGUGAACUUGAUAUAAAGGAGCUUCAAGUUUUAUACACUAGUUCUGCCAGCACUAAACUUUUUGACUCCUUGGAAAUUGUUGUUCGAUUUUGAUUGCUGUAGAGAGACAGACACCAUUAACCAAAAGAAGCUGACAAAGGAAGUUCUUCCCAACUGAGUUUAUGUUUUAGAAAAAAAAAAAAGAAACAUAAAUAAAAUCAAGUUAUUGAAAAGGCCGGAGAAUGAUAAAGUUGUAGUUAUAAAAUCAAAGAUUGGUCCAUGCUACCUCAUCAAAACAUUCCAGCUGACAACACCUGUUUCCCUUUCUUCUUGCUUUACAAGUACAGCUUUCCUUCCGUUUCUUCUUUUUGCAGGAUUUGCAUUUUUUUGCAGCUCAUUUAUCUCAACCAUCUCAUUUGAAUUUGGUUUCAAGUCUUCCAGGUCAAAAUUUUUCCCAUCAUCCUUUUCUUCUUGUUUUUCCAUUUUUCCGGCAUUUUCCAUCAGUUUCUGGAAUAACCUUCCAUUUUUGGAGAUCUCCUCGAAGGUACCCUCUUCCUCAAUUACACCAUUUGCGACAAGGAGGAUGUAGUCUACAUGUGGAAGAAAAUGUAGCUGGUUUGUGACAAGUAUUCUGGUUUUCCCUUGCAACUCUUCCUUGAUACAUCUGCUGAAAACCUGCAAAUGACUUCAGAUGAGAUCAAUAUGGCAUAGCCUCAAGCACCCACCUUGGGGAUCAAACAAAGUUGGAUGAUCACCCCUUACAGUUGAAAAUACAUCCUGAUAGAAACUGAAAAAAGCUUUUCUCUUAAAAGGAAGAGAUAGUUAAUUCAUUUUCCAAUAGUUAAUUCAUUUUCCAAAGAAGAGUUUGCUGAGAAUUAUUUUUAUCUUUUGGGGGGGGGGGGUCCUUGAAGGACACUGGUAUUAUGCAGAAGACAAAGUUGAUCUCAACUUAUUCAGAUUAUUGCUUCUUUUUUUCGUUUUCUAAUGGGUUUGUCUUAUUCAGUUUAAUUAUGGCCUGAAGCUAUUUAAGCCAUGUUUUUAUUAGAGCCUCCUUGCGGGACAAGAAGUACUAGUUCAACAAUUUCUUGUCAGGGUUAGGAGCAAUAUAUAAGAAAAAGAAUUACCAUCAUAUUACUUUUCAGCACUUUUGCUCUAAUUCCUUCAUCUCAACUUUAAACCGACACCAAAUCUCAUCCAAACUUUAACUGCUCUGACAAUUUUCAAUUCUUUUGACCUUGAUUAAUCCUUAAACAUACCCUUAAAACUAAUCUCGCAUUUUGCAGUAAUAUAGAUCGUCACAUUCUAGUCUGAUAAGCAUCUAUUUCCUGUUCUACAGCACUGCGAAAUGAACUAUGAUCAGUGUAGAAUGUGACAGAUAUUAAAUGUUGAUCAGAGUAGAUUACCUGCUGUGCAACAUGCGCAUCGAGGGCACUUAAAGGGUCAUCAAAUAUAUACACAUCUGAAUUGGAGUAGACAGCUCUAGCCAGGGAAACUCUCUGCUUCUGCCCACCACUGAUAUUCACCCCUCUUUCACCGAUCUCAGUAAGAUCAUGAUCCUGAAGCCCAGUAUACAAUGGUUAAUUAGUUAUGGAGACAUCCAAAAUAAUCAAAAGAAAUGACAAGUAGAUGUAUUAAAUUCACUUAACAGGAAGUAUGUCAAGAUCAUGCCGCAGGGCUGUAACAUCAAUUGUCUUCCAAUACCGUUCAGGUUGAAAGCUACACCCAAACAAUAUGUUGUUACGAACCUGUGAAAUAAAGUUUGAAGGUCAGAAACAAGUGGUGGUAGAAACUUUCAUUUCCAAAGAACGCUAAAAUUUGAAAUGGAAUCAAAUAUCAAUGAAGAAUGUAAGCAAUCUGCAACCUACAGUAGCAUUAAAAAUCCAUGAAACUUGUGGAACAUAAGCGACAGUCCCUCUUAUUGCAAGACUUGAAUUAGCAUCUGCAGGUAUUUCCCCUAGCAUUGCUGAUACAAGUGAUGUUUUCCCUUCCCCAGUUCCACCAACAAUUGCAACCAGGCUGCCAACUGGCACCUCCAAAUUGAUAUUUGAUAAGGUAGGUUUCUCUGCCUGGAAAGAAAAUCUAAAAAAUGUCUUUAUCUACGACAGAAUUACAUUGCAAUAUCGAUAAUGUUGAUGAUAAGUAUGCAAGAACUUCCUAAUUAUAAUGCUGGGAAAGCACAACCUACAGAGACUACACUGCUUAGUAUAGUAGUCAACUUUAUCCUAAGCAAUAGUCAAAGAGUCGCAAUUUUUUAAAUAAGCUGCCCUUCUGGGAUCACUUUUAAGUCAAUAGCAUGUGAUGAAGUUGGACAAGUCAGGUGCUCCAUAUACGACGGAAGUACCAAAUUCAGUGAAAGAAAAUAGCUAUAAUCCAUUUAUAAGGGUUAUACCCUUUUACAGCAUGGUUGGAUUUCUUAAAAAUAAAGGAAAGUUAAGCAAAUCAAGGGAAAGGAUAAUUCUUUCCCUUGUUUGGAUGACGUAUUUUGAUUAAGCAAGGGAAAGCAACGGGAGUUGGGUGAGGGGAAAAGAAACAUAAAACAAUUUGGAUUAUGUAAAAAAUCCAUUUUGUCCUUCAAAGAUUUUAUUAUUAACAAUUUAUUUUUAUAUUUGCAUUUAAUCUUUUUAGAAGAUUAGGUCUAUAUUUAUUAAAUUUGUAUUUAAAAAUUUAACAAUCUUAUCAUUAGUUUUUAUCUUUUAUGAAGAAUAUUCGUAUUUUUCUAUAAUAUUUAAUUUAAUUUUGUUAUUAAUUAUUUGGAAAUUUCAUGUAAAAUAAAUAAUUUCCAUUCCUUUUCACAGUUUACCCAAACAAAAGAUGUUAGAAUUCCUUUCCUUUACUUUCCUUUAUAAUUUUUAACUAUCCAAGCAAUAAUUAAAUAUAUAUUUUCCUUUAACAUUCCCCUACUCUCUUUUCUUUUUCUUUCUUUAAUUAUAUUUAACCAAACAGUGUUAAAAAUCUAAAACAAUGGGAAGCCUUCCAAAAUAGUACCUAGAAUUUAAAGAUCUAAUACAAUAAAAAUUAGAGAUAUUCAUGGGUCAGUUCGGGUUUAAACACAAUGUUAAUGCACUUUAUGCUUACUCAAAUUCAGUUCGAAAAUGAGCCUAAAAUUUUACCCAAACAUAUUUAUAUUUGUAAAUAACAGCCCAAGCCCAUUUGAGGCCCAUCCAGAUUUUUUUUAAUUUUUUAAAAUAUAUAUUUAUAUUAUUUAAAUUUUAAUAUUAAUGCAUUUAUAUUUUUUACAUUUAUUAAAAUUUUAUAUAGGAAUCUUAACAUUUUUUUGAAUGUUUAUGUUAGAAUAUUAUAUAUUACUAUAUAUUUAAUUGUUAUGUAUUAGAAAUUACGUAACAUAUAAAUAACAUAAUAUAUAACAAACUUAGAAAACGGACUAAACCAAGCUUAGGCCUUGAAUGUACAAGCUUGAGCCCAACUCAUAUUUAAAUGGGCUUAAUUUUUUUAUCUAAACCCAUUUUUUAGACUUAAUAUUUUUGUUCAAACGCUCUCAAAUUUUGAGUAAACCUUCAAGCUUAGACGAGUAACGCCCAUGAAAAUUUCUAAUAGGAAGCCCUCCAAAAUAUCACCUUAAUUUCUACAGACUUGUAAUUUACUAUAAGUUAACUUAUAGGGGCACAAAGAGAUGUUUUUGUAAAGGAUAGUAGUAGUGUUUUAGUGUUGCUUCCAUUACUACUGUUGCUAAAGCAAUGUGUCCUAUGUAAUAUCCGAAGCUAUAAUGCUUCAGCCUGAUGCCUUCACACAGACAAUAUCUAAAACUUUAUUUCAAUCUUUCUAUUCUCGCAGAGUAUGAAACAGACUAAAUUUAUUGAGUGAUCAUCGCUAAACCCUUCACAAGCAAUACUAAAUGCAAAAGUUCCAUUUUAGCAAAGCAGAUGACUCCAAAUUUAAACAACAUAAAAACAAGAAUAACACUUUAGAAUGACCUUUGAAUCCCAUGAAAAGUUUCCAUCCUUAAUUGAGAUGGCUGGAAGCCCUGGCUGAAGAGGUGGAUUUGGUGCUAGAACCCUCUCUUCAGCUAAGAAAAGCUCCUGAAGACGUUGCAAUGACACAUUUGCAUUUACGACCUGAAAAACCAAGCUUUAGAUUGUCAAAUAGACAACUGAAACUAUUUUGAAUCUUUUAGCAAUCCUACUGAACUUAAUGACAAGUAAACCUUGAAAAUUGUUGCAGCUGCAUAACAAUACAAAUAAGGUUCAACAAAAAAUCACGUGCAUUAUUAAAUUCUUUAAGUUUACUUUCCUUUCAUUACCAUAAACUCAUUAUAUUUAUCAAAUAGCUCUUAAGUUAUUGAGUGACUAACUGGUUUUGUAGUCUAGCCAAUAGAUCAAAGCAAACGUGUCUUCAGAGGUAAUGUGUAAACCUGACUUAACAAAUUAGGAAGUGUGCUCAGAGGACAUCGUAGCAGUUUAAAGAGCGAAAGUGAUGUGAAUGCCCUUGCCGGUGUUAAAUCCCCACCAAGCAAAGUGAAUGUCCCAAAUGAAACUACUGUCACAACAACUGGUAUGCUGUUCAGUAUGAAACUGUUAAACUGCAAGAAAGAGAAGUUAAAUGGAAAAUAAAUAAUAAAAAAUAUAAAUAAACUCAAAUUGUGUGGUAAAACACAUGAAUACUUCAUGUAGCUUGAUUGCUAGUAGUGUGAACAGCUAGUGCAACAUGCAUAGAUCAGCUACAUAGAGAAAUGAGUUUUUGACCAUGUUCAUUUUGAGAGCAUUUUGUAUAAUGGGCCAAGAUACUAAUGUAGCAACAGAUCACGAGUAUGUGUCACAACUUAUUAUAAAUCAAAAACAAGGUAGCAAUAAUGUAAGCCAUCUUUCCCAUAACCUGGAUUAAAACAGGGAAUCUGAGAUUAUGAAUGAUUACAACCAUAAUCACAUUUUCCCUCAAAUCAAGUUGUGAAGGCAUACUUGUAAAUUUUAUGGUUGGUGUUACAUUUUACGGUGCAAAAGGAAGUACACUCGUUGAUUUUACAUGGCAACUGGCAACUUCAUACUCUAUUUUGGCAUUUCAUAUGGCAAAGACACAUGCAAAGAAAAAAUGGACUAGAAUUUCAAAUAUCAUACAGCAGAUAGUAGCUGAGCUCUCCGAAGCCAAGACAGCUCAUCAUUUCGUAUACUGUGAACUCUUGUCUGAAAGCUCUUCUCCCAUGCAUAAAAUCUGAAAAUUUUCCAAGCAUAGGACCAAUAAGCAAUAUCAAAUGGAAAAAAAUAUAUUGAAAAUCCAAGGGAAAUGCUUUCUAAAUUCAACCAUACUUCACUGUAUCCAUAGCAGCUAAAAUUUCGUUCAUAAAGCUGACUCUCCUGUCAGUCCACUUUAGUCCUUCCUUGGUCAUUAUUCGCAUUUUGCUAAUCACAAUGGUCUGUCCCCAAAUAAAUAGAGGUAAUGUUAAGGCAUGAUCAAUCAUCACAAAGAUGGUUUAAAUAAUUUCAUCUUGCAGGGAACCAAAAAUAGAAGAUAAUAGAUGCAAACCACGAAAAUAUUUUUCCCAACUUGAGUGUCACAGUAACUUGCAUUGACUGGCAGACUUCUCCGUGAGACAAGAUUUAAUCCAAUGAUUUGGUUUUUCUACCUAUGUCACCACUCAUGCUCUUUUUGCUUUCUUUCCCUCUCUGAUCUAUAAGUAGUCUGAAUGAAUUAAGGAGAUAACUGCUAUGUUAACUCCAGAGAAAGGGGCUUUAACUACAGCCUUAAAUAUGGGAAGCUGGCAGAAAAUGAUUACAAUGACUGGCAUCAAUUUCAUCAAGUAAAUUCUCACUUUGCUAAGAAAAUGAAAUCUAUCACUUCAAGAAUUGAAAAGGGUAGGAAACAAUUAAAAACAAAGAGUUUCAAUAAAAUAUUAAAAAAGGCAAUAAAGAUUUGUACCUGCAGUGGAACCAUGAGAACUAGAAUUACUGAUCCAAGAAGUGAAGCAACACCUAGUUGCUGAUAAAGAAGAACCAUGGAAAUAAUGAUACGAAACGGAGCUGACCACAACACGUGAAGUUGUUGGCAUAUUUGCUAAACAAAGUAAAGUAGUAUCAAUAAUAUUCAGAUCAACUCUCUAACCAACAUGGGAAGAAUAAAAAAAAUGGAGAAAAGAUGGACGCAAAAUACAAGAUUAAUUGCAACUUGCAAAUGUUAAGCACAUUUUGGUCUAGGAUCAUAACAAUAUAGAUGUCCUCCCAUGUUAUGUUCUUGUUAGGUCAACAAGUUAUGAUAGAAGAAGCUACCAUAUAUUAACAUGAAUAUUGUUUUUAACACUAUUAAAAAAAAACCUAACUUAGUUUAAACUAGACCUCUUCAAGGACCGGCUUACUCACCCAAAAUUUGAGAGGAUUUGGGCAAAAAUAUUAGGCUUGAAAAAUGAGCUUGGGCAAAAAAAUUAGUCUUGUUAAAAUAUGGCUCGGGUUAUAAAAAUUAGAUUUAUGGUAAUAUAUAAUACUAUAAUGUAAAUUAGAAAAAUGUUAAGUUGUCUAUACAUAAAAUUCUAAUAAAUAAAAAAGUAUAUUAAAUUAUUAAAUAUUAAAUUAAAAGCAAUAUAAAUUUUUUUCAAAAAAAAUUUAAAAAAAAAAUAUAGAGGAGCUUAAAAUAGGCUUGGGUUAGUCAUUUACAAAUAUACACGGACCUGGGUAAAAUUUUAGGCCCAUAUUUCGGACCAGGCCAAGCUUGGGCAAGUAUAAAGUGUGGUAAUAUCGUGCUUAAGCCUAGUCCAAACCUAACCCAUCCUGUGAACAAUUCUGAUUUAAAGAUCAUAAAUCCACACUCAAAUUUUUCUACUUUUGUAACCAAAAUGGCCAAUAUAUUCGCUAGAUGUUUCAAAAUCUCAAAUUUCAGUUGACAGUUAUAUCGAUUAUAUCAAUGGCAACAUUCUACAAUGAACUUUGGCUCAAGUGCCAUUGUUGAAGCUGACUUCCAUGCAGCACAAGAAGCAGACCAAGCUGCCGAGCCAUGCAAUUGCAACUAAAGCUCAUGCUGUUGAUUCAUUUUGGUUACUUCAAGUGUUUGUUUUGUUACUUAGUUUGAUUUGAACUGUAUUGUCAUUGUACUUGAUGUAAUUAGGUAAUGUUUGAGUUGAUAAACUAGCUUUACCAAGUGUGCAAGUUUUGUUUUAACAAGUUACAAUGCUACUUAGUAGGGUUAGGUAGAUGGUUAGGUAACUUUGUAUUAUUUUGACCAGCUGAAAUGCUUGGUAUAUGUAAUGGCAUUAUGCCUUAAUUCAAUGUAAUAAAAUCUUUCAGAAAUUCUUCUUAAAUUUCUGGUCUUUACUCAAGUUUUUUACUCAAGUUCUUAAGCUGAACUUUCUUGUUUGUUCAGCAAGACAUUGAUGCUUCUUGAUUAAGCUUCUGUGAAAUCUCUCAUUCUGUUUUCAUAGUUUCAACAAUUUGAUAUCAAGAGCUUAUUUCUUAGUGGACAUUGAUAUCAAGAGCUUAUUUCUUAGUGGACCUGUCAUUCUUCAAGUCUAAAAAUCAUGUCUUCAUCUGGAUUUUCUCUAGCUCCACCACCAGUGUUCAAUGGUGAAGGCUACUAUAUUUGGGUAGUGAAAAUAAAGACCUACCUGCAAGCAUUUGACUUGUGGGAGAUUGUUAACUCGGAUGUUGAACCAGCAACUCUAAGAGCCAAUCCUACUGUGGCUCAUAUCAGGCAGCACACAGAUGAAAGAACCAAGAGACACGAGGCCAUAUCUUGCAUCCAAAACAGUGUAUCUGAUGUGAUUUUCACAAGGAUCAUGACUUGUGAGUCACCAAAGCAGGACUAGGAUAAGCUGAAGGAGGAGUUUUAAGGGACUGAAAGAACAAGACAGCAACAACUCUUGAAUUUGAGAAGGGACCUUGAAAAUUUGAAGAAGAAGGAAGAAGAAACAGUGAAGCAAUACUCAGACAUAAUUAUGUUUGUUGUGAACAGCAUUAGAUUGCUUGGGGACCAGUUUAGUGAAGCAAGAAUAGUGGCAAAGGUCAUUGCAACCUUACCUAAGAUAUGAAGCCAAGAUCUCUUCCCUUGAAGACUCAAGAGAUCUGACAAGCAUCUCUUUGACUGAGCUAAUCAAUGUUCUUUAUGCUCAAGAGUAAAGAAGAGCCAGCAAAUAAGAGGAGCAUCAAGAAGAUACCUUCCACGCCAAAAGCAGACCUGCCUCUAGCUUCUCUGGCUACAAGGGGAAGAAAGUCUGGUCUGACAAGCCUAGAAGAGAUGGAGCAAGAAGAAGAUAUUCACCUUGUCCACACUGCAAAAGGCUCAGUCAUCUAGGAGAAAAUUGUUGGUUUAGGUCUGAUGUGUAGUGCAAAGUCUGUAAAAAAAUGGGCCACUUUGAGAAAGUUUGCAGAAACAAAGGCAAGCUGAAGCAAAACUAGCCUCAACAUCCUAGAGCUGAAGCUCAAGUGGUAGAAGAAGGUAGUGACCAGGAAGAGCAAGUCUUUGCAGUCUCUUACUCAGCAGCCAAAGGAAAAGCCACAAAAGGAUGGCUGAUAGACAGUGGUUGCACAAACCACAUGACUCCUGAUGCUGCUAUUUUCAAGAACUUAGACAGAACCUUCAAUACAAUGGUGAAAGUUGGCAAUGAACACUUUAUCAAAGCAGAAGGCAAAGGAGAUAUGCUAAUUGACACCCCCACAGGUAUCAAACUUGUUUCAAAUGUCUUGUUUGUGCCUGAACUUGAUAGAAAUCUACUUAGUAUAGCUUAGUUGCUAGAAAAGGACUAUUCAGUAGUGUUCAAAGGCAAAGAAAUCCUGAUCAGUGAUCCAUGUGGAUCGAAACUCAUGUCAGUGACCAUGGCUGACAGAAGUUUUGUUGUGGACUGGAAUAAGGGUUCAGAUAGUGCCUAUACAGCUGCUUUGGAUGAAUCCAAGCUAUGAUACAAGAGGCUAGGUCAUGUCAACUACAAGUCAAUGGUUCAGCUGACCAAAAAAGACUUCGUUGAAAACUUCACAAAAUCAGUUGAGAAUGAAGAUGUUUGUGAAGUGUGUCAGCUAGGAAAGCAAGCUAGACAGUCAUUUCCUUUGAACAAUGCCUGGAGAGCUUUAGAAAAGCUGCAGCUAGUCCAACUGAUGUGUGUGGCCCUAUGAAGACACAGUCUUUGAAUGGUAACAGGUAUUUCAUCCUUUUCAUUGAUGAUUAUUCGAGGUUUUGCUAGGUUUACUUCUUAAAGCACAAGUCAAAAGUAGCCUCAGUGUUUUAGAAAUUCAAGGCUGUAGCAGAAACAGAAUCAGGGUGCAAGCUGAAGAUAUUAAGGUCAGAUAAUGGCAUAGAGUACACUUCAGUAAUAUUUCAGGGCUUUUGUGGUGAAGCAGGCAUCAAGCACCAGCUUACAAACACUUACACACCUCGGAAAAAUGGUGUUAGUGAAAGAAAGAAUCGAACUUUGCUGGAUAUGACCAGAUGCCUAGUGUUUGAGAGGAAUUUACCUAGAACCUUUUGGGCUGAGGCAAUUAACACUACAAUUUACAACCAAAACAGGCUACCAACCAAGGCAUUGGUUCAUAAAACCCCAUUUGAGGCCUGGUUUGGGAUUAAACCAUCACUGGCACACCUAAGGGUCUUUGGCUACAUAUGUUAUGCACAUGUUCUAGCGGUAAAAAGAGACAAGUUGGCCAAGAAGGCUCAACCUGGCAUCCUGGUAGGAUAUAGCAGUAUCAAGAAAGGCUAUAGGGUUUUGGAUCCUUCAUCCAAUAAAGUCUUUGUGACCAGGGAUGUUGUAUUCGAUGAGAAAUUAGGCUGAAACUGGAAUAAAAAUGAAUCAAAGACUGCUGCCGAAGACUUGAUGACAGAUCAGACAGAAGCUAAUCAAAAUGGUCCUGAAAUGGGCAUUGACCAUGAGCCAGUCAGAAGAACCAGACCUUUGAGUGAAAUAUAUGAGAGGGAUGAAGUGACUACUAUUGAACCAAGCUGCUUUGAAGAAGCUGAAGCUCAACAAAGAUGGAAACAUGACUUGCUUGAUGAAAUGUGCAUGAUUCACAAGAAUCAUACAUGGGAGCUAGUUGCAAGACUAGCCAACAGGAAGGUCAUAGGAGUAAAAUAGGUGUUUCGAGCCAAGCACAAUGCUGAUGAAACUCUGAACAAGCUGAAGGCAAGACUAGUUGUGAAGGGAUUCAAUCAAAAGUUUGGCACUGACUACUUUGAAACAUUUGCAUUAGUGAUCAGACUUGACACAAUCAGGUUAUUAGUUGCUUUGGCUAUAUAAAAGCAGUGGAAAAUUCAUCAACUCGAUGUAAAGUCUGCUUUCCUCAAUGGUUUUCUUGAUGAGGAGAUUUAUGUUAAACAGCCUGAAGAUUUCAAAGUUGCAAGCAAGGAGGACAAUGUGUACAAGCUGAAAAAGGUCUUGUAUGGCUUAAAACAGGCACCAAGAGCCUGGUAUGAUAGAAUUGACACUUACCUAGCAAGCUUGGGGUUUGAGAGAAGCAUUAGUGAGCCAACCUUGUAUGUGAAAAAGGAGGGUGAUGAAACACAGCUUAUAGUCUCCCUAUAUGUGGAUGACUUACUGGUGAUAGGAGGAAACCAUGAUAUGCUGGCAAAUUUCAAAAACAAAAUGGAGUGCAUGUUUGAGAUGUCUGAUUUAGGAGAAAUGACUUACUUCAUUGGCAUGGAAGUGACGCAAACUCAGCAAGAAAUUUUCCUAAGUCAAAAAGCUUUUGCUUUGAAAAUUCUGAACAAAUUCUCAAUGUUGAACUGCAAAACAAGCAGCACACCAAUUGCCAUUGGAGAAAAACUGACCAGCCAAGGUGAUUUUGAGAAGAUAGCUGAGUCAACCUACAAAAGUUUGGUUGAAUGUUUGCUCUACUUGAUAGCUGCUAGACUAAAAAUUAUGUUUGCUAUAAGUCUGUUGUCUAUAUUUAUGCAUUGCUGCAAUGUGAGGCAUUUCCAAGCUGCCAAAAGAGUUCUCAGGUACAUCAAAGGUACACUGAGCUUUGGAAUGAUGUUCACCAAGGUUGAUAGCAUGAAGCUGCUUGGAUAUGCUGAUAGUGGUUAGGCUGGAUCGAUAGAUGAUAUGAAGAGCACCUCAGGAUAUCUGUUUACCCUUGGUUUAGCUAUUUUUUGUUGGAGUUCAAAGAAGCAAACUGUUGUUGCUCAAUCAACAGUUGAGGCAGAGUAUGUGGCAGCUACAGGAGCUGUUAACCAAACAAUUUGUUUAAGGAAAAUCAUGGCAGAUUUAAAUCUACACCAAAGGAAAGCAACAGAGAUCAGAUGUGAUAACCAAUCUGCUAUUGCAAUUGCAAAGAAUCCAGUUUUUCAUGGGAGAACCAAGCAUUUCAAGAUUAAGUUUCAUUUUGUUAGGGAAAUGGAACAAGCUCAAGAGGUGAAACUGAUUCAUUGCAAUUCUGAAGAACAGCUUGCUGACAUCUUGACAAAGCCUCUUUGUGUGUCAAAGAUUUACAGUUUUAAGAACCAAAUUAGGAGUAUGCAACAUGCAAGCCAAAGAAGAGUGUUGAAGCUAACUUCCAUGCAGCACAAGAAGUAGACCAAGCUGCUGAGCCAUGCAGUUGCAACUGAAGCUUAUGCUGCUGAUUCAUUUUGGUUACUUCAAGUGUUUGUUUUGUUACUUAGUCUGAUUUGAACUAAGUUGUCAUUGUACUUGAUGUAAUUAGGUAAUGUUUAAGUUGAUAAACCAGCUUUACCAAGUGUGCAAGUUUUGUUUUAACAAGUUACAAUGCUACUUAGUGGAGUUAGAUAGAUGUUUAGGUAACUUUGUAUUAUUUUGACCAGCUGAAAAGCUUGGUAUAUGUAAUGGCAUUAUGCCUUAAUUCAAUGUAACAAAAUCUUUAGAAAAUUCUUCUUCAAUUUCUGGUCUUUACUCAAGUUUUUUACUCAAGUUCUUAAGCUGAAUUUUCUUGUUUGUUCAGCAAGACAUUGAUGCUUCUUGCAUAAGCUUCUCUGAAAUCUCUCAUUCUAUUUUCUUAGUUCCAACAGCAAUUUUUGUAUUCAUCUUGAUACUGUCAAAGGAUCAUCAUCUUUCUUAAAGUACCGACAUAAGGCAAAGUUUUAAAUAUGACAGGAUAUUUACUAAAAUUUUUCUAAAAUAUACUGUACUUUGUCUUUAUGGACUUCGAUUCUAAAUGCAUGAUACAGCAUUCUUCGAAUCGAUUAACACUUCCAUUUUCACAACAAUCAGACAAGGACCAUACCUGAAGUGCAGUAGCAUCUGUUGUAAUCAUAUUUGUUAUCUUUCCAGAAGGGAAAUUCUUGCGAGCCUCAUGAGUCAAUCUCAAAGAUUUGUGAAAUAUAGCUGCCACCUAUAACAGAAACAGUAAACUGCAAUUAAGUCACCAAAUUGAAAUGGAUAACUCAGCCUCUACUUGAAAAGCAAAAGAGGCUCCAUGUGCUUCUUUGUGUCUAUUUUAGGAGGAAGGAACUAUAUUACCAGAGUAGAUCGUACACGAAAACCAACACGCCAAACAUUCUGCAUGUACUGAGCCUCAAGCAGUACAACACAUAACUGAAAUAAGUCGAAAUAAGUCACAUUAUCAGAACAGAAGAAAGCUCUCCACGGCAUCACUUCUUUGAACUUUCAUGAAUAGCUAAUAUAAGCAACAGCCUUCAUCUUUUGUUGAAGAGAAACAAACAUAUGGACAAAGACAAUGAUAGCAACACAGCUAUUCAUAUUACGUAAGAAAUGAGAGAAAGCAUGAAUAAAAUGCUUGAGUUAAACAGACCACAAUAUUCAGGUUUGUUGCAAAAAACAUAUACAAUGCUAUGCUAUGAAAUAAUUUGUACAAAAGAAAACUCUAAACUGGGAAAAUCCAGGUUUAUACUAAAAAAGGAAAUCCAGAUAUGGAAACACAAAAUUGGGACCAUACCACUCCAAGAAACAUCAAGAAGGCAUAGAUGUAACCAACCCAUGCUGGGUCACCUCGUUGCAUAGACUGCAGACCAUAACAAGAGAAUUAUAAAUUUAACACAGAGCACAGAAUGACAAAGUAGAAUCAUCACUAAAUGAUGAAAAAUUAAAAAUUUGUCUACCACAGUAUUACUUUGGCCAGAGAAAAAUCUUUGUGUUACUUGUUAUUACUUAAAAUUUCUAUAAUUUCUUAAAAUACAUACAUCCUCAGUAGAACUAUAGGGUUAUUGAAUCUGAAAUCAACAUUUCUCUUCUAUAGCAGAAUAAACAAAUAGAUACAAGUGGUCAUUUCUUUAAUUAGGCCUUAACCAGGAAAUAAGAAAAUAAACAUAAACCUGUAAGAGAUGGUUCAACAACAUAGGCCCCGCAAACUGACAAAGGUCACAUCCAAUCUGCAAUGUGCAAAUAGGAAUUCAUAAGCCAGCAUUCAAAAGUUUGUUACAAAUUCUUUAGACAAUUUAGUCAUAUUAUCAUGAAAUGCUAAGUCUCCAAUAUGACUUUCUAGUAGGAAAACUCUACAUUUUAUCUAUAGAAAAUAUGCACACUCAAAAUGGCUAAGACUUAUUAUUGGUCGAGAUUAGCAUAAGCGAGACUCAUGCUCAUGAACAGGAUGAGGGUUGCAAAACUUAAUUUAUUACCGUUUCAAAUAGUGGCCACUGAAGGAGCAUCUAAGCUACAACACAUAUGGUAAAGGAUGCAAAAUUCUUCAAUACAGUAGAUGGCGUAGAUAAAUGAAGAAAAACACCUACCAUGUAUAAAAUAAAUUAUAAUUACUAAAAAUUUCGAGCUCACAAAACACGAAACAUGUAUCACCUAAAUAUAAUCCUGUUCUCUUAAUUCAAAUAACUUAAUAAUUUAUCAUCAAAUUAAUUUCCAUGAGAAAUACGAAUAGCAUGCUCAUUACCUUGAAAACACCCCCCAACCAAAACCUGCAUGAUUCAUUUAUAGAGAAAUAGUUAAUAUAGGUAAGGCAAGAUGACAUCUAGACUUGAUAGAGGAAUUCUUCAGGAUGCAUAAGUUCUUAUUAGUCAUUACCACUAUUAUAAAGGAAGGGAAAAGUGUAACCACAUAGUUAACUAACCUUCCUCCCAAGCUACUAUUCAGUGCUCUCAAAAGCCAUGGCUUAGAUCUUUUAGCUUCUUUGUCCCAACAUCUAUGGAAUCUGUAGAGGUAGAAAUUGCUAUCUUUGAGUGAUUGUAUGCAUUAUCAUGUGGAAGCAAAUGCAAGGAAGUGACAGAAUGCUAACUUAUGAAUCAGUAUUUCGGUCUGAUCCCAUGUAUCCAACUUCCAAACAUCCCUCUCAGUGAUAGGUCUUUUAUACCCUUGCAGCAUUAGUGGAGUAAUCCAUCCGAAAAAAAUUCCUGUCAAAUCAUAUUGCGUAAAACUUUGAACUAGAAGCUCACAAGUUCAAAGUAAAGCAUCACUUACCUAUGAUUUGAGCAAAAUUUAUAUUUGCGAAAAUCAUAGAAAACAUUUAAUAUCUGUAGGACAGACCAAACUGUCUUUAUAUAUAAAUGGACUAUGUUGCUUUGGCUAUUUACUUUUCCCUAAAUACCAUGUUAGACAAUUAUUGGAAACCUUACACUGGACAUGUGUGUGGGGAUUCAAGCCCUAAACCUUUCAAAUAUUAUGUGGCCCGGGGGGGGGGGGAAUCAAAUGCAACGGAUGAACACGUAAUCAUGUUCGACACUUCUCUCGAGUUCCACGCAACAUGGACCAAGGAUGCCAAACUUCUGAUAAAGAGUAUAUAGAUUCUUUUGACAAGAACAUCCAAGACUAGCACAUAUCAUUAUCUUAUUGACAGACUAGCCAAGUCAUUACCUAGUUAUAGUUCCAUCAUAAUGGUUCUUUUCCACAAAUAACCAGCAAACCUGAAAUCAAUUGAACUCUUUGAACUUGUAGUACCAGGACCAAACAUUCAGAGGACUUACUCGGAUAAAGGAAAUGCAGACAUACAUAUACACACAGACACACAUAAUAUAUAAUAUAAAUAUACAUUCUGUUCACAAUGUAGAACAUCCCAAUCCCAUUACUUGCACAUAUUAAUAUAACAUCUGUCCUUAUGUACAGUCUAGCGCAGCAAUUACAUAGUUAUAGUUCUAUCUAAAUGAUACUUUUCUAAAAAUAAUUAGCAAACCUGCAGCAUUUGUAAUUUUGAACUUGUGGUAUCAUAAUCUCUCAAUCAAAGUACUUACUUGAAAUAAUGCUGGCCUGCCUCUCAGGGCAUAGUUGCUCUCCUCCAGAAAGUGGUUCAUAUUUUUCAUCAUCAAGAGAAUCACUUUCAAUCAAACGAUACCCAGGGGAGAGAUGGAGAUUAGGAAAAUAAACAAGUAGAAGAAUCCCAAAUAAAACCUACACCGGAAAAUAAGCACAAUAAACCAAACUGCCAUAAAGACUUGAAGACAAAAAUCAUUAGAACUCAUUGUCAAAGAAAUUGUCCAAAUUUCUGUCCCAAAGGGUUUAAAUUUAGACCACCCUACCAAGAAUUAAAAUUUGACCAAAAGCUUCAACUUGAUUAAUUUAAAUCUAUAAUAAUUAAAAUGAAACUAAUUCAUGUCAACCUAAAUUGAGACAUUAGCAGCUAAAGUGAUGAAUGCUUGGGAAAAGAGGUGAUGCCAAUAUUUCCAGAGAGAUAAAAAGAGAGAGUUAUUGUCUCUCUUUAAUUUUCGUUAAGUUUUUGUACUGCACAACUUGCUAGUGACGCAGCUUUUAGCCAGACUUCAAGAGGUUCGUAAAACUAGGAGAGGUAUUAUGGCACCAAGGCAAAUAUAAAAGCAGGUAAAGACUACUUCUAUAGAGAUACUAGAAAAAAACGAAUAUGGAAAAAGGCAAAUAUACAGAACAAACCUGACAGAAUACUGUGCUGAUGGUCAAAUACAAUGCGUAGCUGCAUGAGCAAAUAACCUUAUCAAUGAUGUGUUCUGUUUACACAGUUUAAUGGACUAUAUUUUAUCUAGUCAGGCAAAAGAAAUAAAAAAGAUAUGCUUCAAAAAAGCCUUUUCCUUUGAAUGAUAUCAGUCCAUAUCUCCAACUACUUAACUGUUCUCAAAAGUAUGAAAGUUUCUAUAUGAUCCAAAAUAGUUUCCUGUGGUCAAAUUUCUUUAGUACAUAAUUUUAGAAGCUAAAAGAAUCAUUACUGCUGAUGGUGGGUCUUCUAGAAAUACUGGUAUGUAUAAAAGGAGAAGAAAAAAGAAAAGAUAAAUGACCUUCUCCCUAAUAUAUUACUAUUCCAGAACCAGAAAGGUAUUUUUUGCUUAGAGAUUUAUGAACUGACAAACUGAUCCCAAAAUAUUCAUAGGAUGAGACUUAAAAAGAGCAUGUAUAUGAGAAAAGGAUUAUAGAUUCAUAUAAAGAGCUUUUUGCUUAUAUUGCACCCCCCCCUCGAGAAAAAGAAAAGAAAAAUGCUUAUGGAAUUUAAUUUUUUAAAGCGGCUUAUGGUCAAUAAACUUAAAUUGAGGAAUGGGAGGAAUCUAACCUAUUGUGCAGAUCCUUCACUGGAAGAAUGAGAUUGAGAAGCACAGCAUCCCCAACCAGAACAUAAACAACUCCAAAACGCACAUACCACCGAAACUCACGGAUGUAACUUUUUGUUUCCAGUCCUAUCAUAAAAAGCACAGAGCACCAAGUUGUAGCCUCAAUGAUCAAAGAGGUUACCUGCAAGAGCGUAAAUUAUAAAACAUAAUAUGGUAACACCUUACCAUGACCAAAUAGAGUAAAUAAAUUGGAUGAAAUAAGCAAAUAAACUCAGCAAAAGAAACAAGUGGUCUGUUUUUAAAGCUAUAAUAGUCCAACAAUUAAACUUAAAAAUACAGAAACUUACCUCAUAGGGAGCAAGGCCAGUCGUUCCGUUUAAAUUAAAGAUCGAACUACCCAUCAACAACCUUAGUAUUGGUUCAACGGUACAAUAACCAGCCAAAAAACCAAGUAUAUAGCAAUAGUAUUCUGGACUCACAGAAAACCUUUGGACUUUGGAAUUCUUCUUAAUUAGCCAUAUACGAUAACAGCACAGGCCCAGAAGAACCAAGUGAGAAAUGAAUAACACACCAGAGUCGAUAGCACAAGGUGUGUAUGCACCAAAAGCACCAUCAACUAGUUUUGUCCAAGCUUCAUUUUGCUUUGGUUGACAAUACCAAACCAAUGGUUCAAACGCCAUCACUAACCACCACUCUGAAAGACAAAAUCGAUUAGCUAUUUGUUGAACUCAUCUUCUGCUUCACGUGAUUUGAAAUGUAACAGGAAAUUUUAUGCAUAGUUAAGGACUUAAUAAAACGUCAUGUCUACAUUGAAGAAAAGAAAGCGGCAGUCGUGCUUAAAAAUUAAAAAAAAUUUUGUAGUAAAUGAGAACUGUAGACACCUAAACACGAAUAAUACAAGGAAAGAAAGAAAAAAUCCAACCAAGAGUCCAACAUAAUAAAACCACAUUUGGAAUAAAGGAAGACAUGACCAUUUCAAUCUAUGCUAUUAAAGUGAUUAAAGAUUCAAGUUCUAUGUUUUCAAUAAUCGUCCCCAUUCAGACCAAAAAAAAUAUUUACGUCAACAAAAGUCUCAGUGGCACUUUAAACGAUUAAACUUGUUCCAGUUCUAAGCAAUAUGAAAUCCCAAAGCUCAGAAUUGUGAUUCAAGUUCCCUCUUCCUGCAGUCAGUCUGAAAAAUAACGAGAGCAACAAAGAUGGAUACCUGUAAUUGUAGGACAGGACAGUGUUGUGGUAGUUGAAAGGCUUUGAGUAGUAAAGCUAUGAGAGUUUCAAGGAAUCUAGGAUUCUGGGUUACGGUAAUUGGGAUGCAUGAUUAAUCAUGUAUAUAUAUCGUUUGACAAUAAAUCAGAGAAGAAGGAAGAGGUUGGCUGGAUUAUUUUAAAAAAUAAAACGUAGGGGAUGGGGGGAUGGGGAUGGGGAUGAUGCUGACAAAGAGACAAGACAAAGUCAAAAAUAGAUGUAGCGACAAUCAUACAUUAAAAAAAUUAAUGCUCCAAUACUCACCAUUAAUUUGUAAACGUUCGGUCUUUUUUUAAUAUAACUCAUAUAUUAUAAAAUUAAUACAAGUGGUGAGUCUUUAAAUGUUAUUUAAGGGUAAAGACCAAAACUCUAUCACGGGUUUUUGGUAGAAGUCUAUGCAUCAUAUAUAAUCUGACUUUUGAUAGAGUUAAAAGAUAAAACUGACCCGAUCUGGGAAUAAUAUUAAUUUGUUAACAAAUUUAUUAGUUCUAAACGGAUGAUAUUUCAAAAAUUUUUUUAAAAAAAGUUCACUUCCUUCUCAAUAAUAAUCAUUUAACUUUCUUUUUGUUUAAUAUGCUUGAAACCAACGUGAUAGGCUAAGACCUUAUUUAGUACGCAACUAUUACAUGACUUUCAAAUGACAAGACAUUUGGUAGCCUUUAUAAAUAACAAGGUUAGGUGACUUUUUUACUUAAGUUAGGAGAUAGCUUUCACUUGUAUCUAAAUAUGUUUUAAGCAUUACUCAUCUUUUAUUCAACUUCAAUUAUUUUUGUUUCAAUUUUAUCUUCAACCAAUAAUCACAUAUUACAAGUAUAGUGUUCAUGGGUCGAGUAACCCCUCCGAAUAAGUUGGCUCAACCCAUCUUGGGUCAAGUUUGGAUAAAGAUUUUUGUCAACCAAACUUGACCUGUAUUGAAAUUUAAUUGUUUUUAAAAAAUUAUUUAAUUUUAAUUAUAAAAGUAUAUAAAUAUUAAUAUAACAUUAUAUUUUUUAAAUAUUUUUAAACAGUAAUAUUUUAUUGUUUUAUAUGUUUUAAUAUGUAAAAUUAUAUUAAUAUUAAUCUUUUAUUAUGUUAAUAUUAAAAUUAUAUAUUUUAUUUUACUAAUUAUCAUAUUAAAUCAAUUACAAUUGGAUCAAAGCACUAGGAUGUUACAUUCUCUAUUACAAUUUUCACUUAUCAAAUAUUUUCUUAUAAACUUUCAUAACUUUUCAAUUUAUUCCCUUUUUGUCAUAAAAGUUCAAUAUUUACUAAUUAAUCAUAUUAAAUCAAUUUUCUUUAUUGUUACACUUUAAUCACAAACUUUAUCUUAAAAUCUUGUUUCACAUAUCAAAUUUAUAUGUAUUUCACUUAUAUCAUUUCAUCCAUAUAUUUUCUCAAGUUUAGCAAUUUAAUCCUUGCCAAUAUAAAAAUUCCAUAUUUUUCCACAAAUUCACUUUUGUUAUGAAUAUCUUAUCCUUCCUCAAAAUUCCAACGAUUUCCAAAUACAUUAAAAGGACUGUUGGUAGUCCUUUAGUUAAGGAAUUUAUGCCCGACGGAGAUGUUGUCCUCACUCUUCUUCAGCAGAAUCUGUCUAAAACACAAGCUCAAAUGAAACGUGCGGCUAACACACACUGCCGUGAGGUGGUUUUCCAGGAAGGAGAUUGGGUUUAUGUCAAACUCCAACCCUUUCGUCAAAACUCAGUGCGCCUCCAGCGACAUUGUUGAGUUUUUAAUCAAUAACUAAAGAUCAAAAACAAAGUUUAAUGUUUGAAAGAUGAAAAAACACAAGCAAAAGGAAUGUUGGAUGAUGAAGAUGAAAGAUUUUCUUCAUUACUUGAAUAAGUACAAAGACCACAUACAUAAGUAGCUCAAAUUACAUUGGUUAAAGACAAAGCUUGCUUGUGCAAGUAUCUAAGCUAUUAAAUCAACUUAAUGACAAUUUAAAUGACUACUAAAUCAGCUAAGCACAUGAUUAAACCUCAGUUGAUCAAACAAAAAUGAUUACAACACAAACUAGCAAAAGUCAACUAUGCAAAAGCUCAUCAUGGAUAUUAGCAUGCUUCUGCUGUUUUCCUGGUUAUUUGCAUGCUGAUGCUGAGUAGCUUAGAUGCUUGCAUGCUACUGCUAUGUUGCCACCUUUUAAUACUCAUCCUUGGCUACAAAGCAGUAAACUUUAAUUUUCUUUUUCAGAUACUUGAAUCUUGUAGCAGCUAAUGGCUUGGUCAGAAUGUCUACAACUAAACCUUCGAGCAGUAAUGAAUCAAGUUGACUUCUUUUGGCAAUUUUGCCUCCCUCACAAAGUGAUAGUUAAUCUUGAAAUGAUUGGUCUUGCUAUGAAAAAUAGGACUCUUGCCAAUAGCAAUAGCUGACUGAUUAUCCACUUUAAUUUAUGUUGCAUCCUCUUGUUCAGCAUUCAAGUCACACAGCAGCUUCCUAAGCCAAAUGGCUUGAUUUACAGUAGAGGCAGCUGCAAUAUACUCUGCCUCAGCAAUGGAUUGAGCUACUGUCUGUUUCUUCUUAGAACUCCAACUAAAAACUCCUGAACCAAGAGUGAAAAAUAGCCCGAUAUGCUCUUAAUGUCAUCAGCUGAGCCAACCCAGUCACUGUCUGAAUAACCAACCAGCUUCAGCUUCUCAGCUCUUUCAAACUUCACUCCACGGCUUAAAGUCCCUUUAACAUACCUUAGGACUCUUUUAACAGCUUUAAAAUGAUCUACACUGCAACAAUGCAUAAACCUCGAUAGAAGGCCAACUGCAUACAUGAUGUUUGGCGUUGUUACAGUCAAGUAAAGUAGGCAACCAACCAAACUUCUAUAGUUCUUUUCAUCUACACGAUCUUGAUCACAAUAGCUUGAGAGCUUUUCUUCUAGUGCCACAGGAGUGUUAGCAGGCUUGCAGUUUGUCAUGCAAAACUUGCUCAAAACCUUCAAUGCAAAAGUUUGAUGGCUUAUGAAAAUACCAAGCUCACUUUGAUUCACUUCUAUACCAAGGAAGUAAGUCAUUAAGCCUAAAUCAGUCAUCUCAAAAACAUCUUGCAUCUGCUUCUUGAAUUCUUCAAUCAACUUACUUUUACAACCAGUAACCAAUAAGUCAUCCACAUACAAGGACACAAUUAGCAAGGUUUCCUUUUCAGCCUUCUUCACAUAGAGUGUAGGCUCACUAAUGCUUUUCUUGAACCUCAGCCUUGACAAAUAUGCAUCGAUCCUGUCAUACCAGGCCCUUGGAGCCUGUUUCAGGACAUACAAAACCUUUUUGAGCUUGUAGACCUCAUGUUCUUCACCAGGGGCCUUAAAUCCAUCAGGUUGCUCAAUAAAGAUCUCUUCUUUGAGAAAUCUACUCAGAAAGGCUAAUUUAACAUCCAAUUGAUGUACUUUCCACUGCUUCUGAGCAGCCAAGGCAAACAACAGCCUUAUGGUGUCCAGCCUUACAACUAGUGAAAAGGUUUCAAAGAAGUCGAUGCCUUGCUGCUGACUAUACCCCUUCACAACUAGCCUAGCCUUAUGAUUGGUCAGUGAUCCAUCUACAUUUUGUUUGGUCCUGAACACCCAUUUUACACUAAUUACUCUUUUUUUUGUUGGUCUAUCAACUAGCUCCUAUAUGUCAUUUUUGUGGAUCAUCCUCAAUUCUGCCUCCAUUACUUCUUUCCAACAACUCUCUUUUGCAGCCUCAUCAAAGCAACAAGGUUCUACAAUGGACAUACCACACAUUUUAUAAAAGUCCAUUAAGGUUCUAGUGCCUCUGACAGGUGCAUCAUCAUAAUCAAUCUCAACUUCAGUCUCAAUUUCAACAUGUUGCAAAUCGAGAUCAUGCUGAUCUUGCUUAGACAGGCUUGCAUCUAUUCCAUCCCAUUUCCAACAGCUCCCUUCAUUGAACUUUACAUCUCUACUCACAACAAUCUUCUUAGUAGAUGGAUCAAAAAUCAUGUAACCCUUUUUCACACUACUGUAGCCAACAAAAACUCCAGGUAUAGACUUCUUUUCCAGUUUGGUUCUCUUCUCAGCUGGCACUAGUGUAUAACAUAAACAGCCAAACACUUUCAAGUCUGACAUAGUUGGCUUAUGUCCAAACCAAGCUUCAAAAGGUGUCUUGCCUUUGACUGCAUUAGUUGGUAGUCUGUUUAGCAAAUACACAGAGGUAUUUAUUGCCUCAGCCCAAAAAGUGUUAAGCAUUUUACCUUCAAACAGCAAGCACUUGGCCAUAUCAAGAACAGUCAUGUUCUUUCUUUCACAAACACCAUUCUACUGUGGUGUGUAGAUAGUGGUUAAUUGGUGUUGAAUUCCAGCUUCUUCACAGAUCUUUUGGAACUUUUGAGACACAAACUCAGUUCCAUUGUCUGAUCUCAAAAUCUUCAACUUACAAAUGGCUUGAUUCUCAGCCAGUGCUUUGAACUUGUAAAAGAAGUCAGCCACAUCUGACUUUUACUUUAAAAAGGUCACCCAACAAAACCUGGUGAAAUUAUCAAUGAACAAUGCAAAAUACUUGCUGCCAUUUAAGGAGGUAGUAUUCAUGGGUCCACAGAUGUCAGUAUGAACCAGUUGGAGCCUCUUGAUUAAAUGCCAAAGUUAUAUAUUUUAUGUAAUUAAAUUGGUUAAUUUAUGAGAGUGCACCACUAAUUUUUCCAUGUUUUUGUUGAAUUUUGUGCAGGGGUGCAAUUUGGGUAUAAAUAGAAGAAAAAGGAAACAAUUGGGCUAGAUUGAAGAAAGAAGCAAAGAAGGAGGGCCAAAGUAGAAUUUUUCCAAGAAUAAUUCGCUGAAAUUGUUGACUUAGUGGGAGAUUAUUUUGGGAUAUUUUUUAUAUUAUGGAAUAUUUUCCUUGAUUUUCUAUACUAGUUGGCUCUUAAUUUAGCAAGGUCACUAGUAUAAAUAGAGGUUACAUUGUUCAUUUUAAUCAUCAAUCAAAAUAUUAAGCUUUCAUCUUUCAAUACAUUUUCUCUCUUCUUGUCACGAAUUCAUUUGCUGCCUUUAGUUUCUUUUCCUUCAAUUUAUUAAUUCCUAGUAGCCACCAAAUUAAGUCAUUUACAAUUCCUUUUUCAAAUUCCCUUUUUUUUUUCAGUAGCUUUCCACCCAUUUUACCUUAUUUAAUUAUUCCAAUACCAAUAUGCCCCAAACCUUUGCCAACUAAACUCAUUUUCAGCUUUAGGUCAGAAUUAGCCUCGUCAAAACCCGUGAGUUACGAACCCGAACAAUUUAACUCAUAAAGUUUCAGUACUUCUUACUUCUCCGAAUUAAGAGUAUGAUUUUGUCAACUCACAAAGUCAGAUCAACAUUAAGUCAAAAAAGACGUCGUUUGAUUUAGUGUGGUUAGACGUACAGUUGGAAUUUCGAAAGGAAUAUUUCUAAUCGGUUUUCUGUGAACACAUUGGCGUGCCAAGUGGAGAUUGUUGUUUGGUUUCGUCAAGGGAAGUAGUAACUGGAUUUAAAUAUCCCACGCGGUUGAGGGCAUUGGUUCGAGCUAGGCUCUUCUAGAACGCAAAGCUGCCGGAGUUCUAAAUCACGAACGUUUCGUGGUUGUUCGAUCGGUAAGGGUUAGUUAUUGGACGUUCCAUAACUAAUUUACAAAAGGAAGAGUUGGUGUCCGAGGCGUCCUUGGUAGCUAUAACUAGCUUAUUGGAAAAGAGGAGUUCAUCCAAUUUCGAGGAUCGGUUCAAAGACGAGGAAAAUUCGUGCCUAAAGUUGAACUUAUUCUAAUUAAUUUUUCUUAAUAUUUAUUUCACUAUUUUUAUUAUUCUGUUUUCAACUUUUUUCUUUUCACGCAUUUUAUUUAUUUAUUUUCAGGACUUCAAAUUUUAUCCCCCUGAAUUUCUUGGGCACGACAGCUGCCCCGACAUAAAUCUGGUCAAAAGAGCAACAAUUUACAUAAACCAAUCUCUGAGGGAUCGACCCUACUCCCUAUACUGCAUAAUUUUCAAUUUAAGGCGUAGGUUUAUAUUGGUGGAUUAGACACCCAUCAGUUUUGGAGCCAUUGCCGGGGACUAGCAACACUUACAAUUGUUCUUGAGGAGCCCAGAAUUUGAAUAACUGGUCGUCGAGGUAACGACGUUAAACAAAGCGCUGUUGGGAGGCAACCCAAAUUUUCUUUUCCUUUAUGCAAAUAAAAUUUUUGGUAAAAUGGAAAAUGAAAAUGCAUGCCAAGGAUUAGUUCUGUCUAAGGAAAGACUUGGUACUUAAGAAUGUCCAUUGUGACUCACCUCUCUUUCCUGAGAACUUACUUGGUGCAUUUAUCACGACUGUUUUACCAAAUCUCGUAAUCUUGGUUUUUAAUAAUUUAUUUCUCGAGUUUAUAGCUUAGCUAAUAAAUUUGAAAAAAAAUUUAAUUUUCCUAUUAUUAUUAUUUAAUUCUACUAUUUUAUUUUAUUUUUCAUUUUUAUUUUUAUUUUUGCAGGAAAAUAUUCCAAGACAAAAUUAAAUUCCACAUGUCAACCUACAAAUUUCUUUUUAUUUUAGCCAAGGCCCACUCUAUCUACGAGACCAUCCUCCACGAUGUUGAAAUAUAUGGGGAGGUUCUUUUCUUUCUUUCUUCUACUUAUCUUUACUUUUUAUUUUUUAAAUUACAUUGGGACAAUGUAAAAUAAGUAGGGGGAGGGAAAUAUAAAUUGGUUCUAAUUUGCUUAUCUGUCAUCGCUAUUUUUGCAUGUUUUCGGUAAAAGGUAAAAUUUUUCUUUUGAUAAAUUCGGAUGGUACACUUAUGGUUUGACCUAUUUAGCUAUUUAGUUAUUUACACAUAAACUUUUCAAUAACCUAAACUUUGUGGGUAAGAAAUUUUUGGGAAUUAUGAGUUUGCUUGACUUCCUACUUUUUAUCAUAUGUCAAAUUUUUGAAUGCAAAAAAAAAAUACUCCUUUGAUACGAAUGUUAAGAGUGAAAAAUUGGGGUUGUACAUCGGGCUGAGUAACCGGAACAUGGUGCUUGGGUUGUCAUUACAUCUUGUGUAAAAAGGUUUGUGUGACUGUCUAAUUUCUUUGCACUCACUCCGCUAACAAGCUAUCACGAGUAAGGCAAAAUAAUCCGCUUAGAGACGUCCGAAUUGAGUAACCGGAACAUGGUGCUUGGGUUGUCAUUAUGUCUCGCGUAAAAAAAAUUCGAAAAUGUCCUAAGUACACAAAAAAAUUUAUAUUAAAUAAAAUAAAAUAAAAAAUAAAUUAGGGGUAGGCCUAUCAAGCUCUAAUAAUUCCGAAAUAUAUUUACUUACUUCUUAGGCUAGGUUAUUUGAGAUGUUAAUGUUCUAGGAUUAAAUUGUUGAAUUGUGCAAACCAUGGGGGUCAAGUCCUAUUUUGGAGAAAAUUUUUCCUUUUGCAGAUUCAUACAAGAUGCUCAAGGACUAGCAUAAGCAAAGUAGGGGGAUUUGAUUAAAUGCCAAGGUUACAUAUUUUAUGUAAUUAAAUUGGUUAAUUUAUGAGAGUGCGCCACUAAUUUUUCCAUGUUUUUGUUGAAUUUUGUGCAAGGGUGCAAUUUGGGGAUAAAUAGAAGAAAAAAGAAACAAUUGGGCUAGAUUGAAGAAAGAAGCAAAGAAUGGGGGCCAAAGCAGAAUUUUUCCAAGAAUAAUUAGCUGAAAUUGUUGACUUAGUGGGAAAUUAUUUUGGGAUAUUUUUUAUAUUAUGGAAUAUUUUCCUUGAUUUUCUAUACUAGUUUGCUCUUAAUUUAGUAAGACCACUAGUAUAAAUAGAUGCUAUAUUGCUCAUUUUAAUCAUCAAUCAAAAUAUUAAGCUUUCAUCUUUCAAUACAUUUUCUCUCUUCUUGCCACGAAUUCAUUUGCUGCCUUUAGUUUCUUUUCCUUCAAUUUAUUAAUUCCUAGCAGCCACCAAAUUAAGUCAUUUGCAAUUCCUUUUUCAAAUUCCCUUUUUUUUUUCAGUAGCUUUCCACCCAUUUUACCUUAUUUAAUUAUUCCAAUACCAAUAUGCCCCAAACCUUAGCCAACUAAACCCAUUUUCAGCUUUAGGCCGGAAUUAGCCUCGUCAAAACCCGUGAGUUACGAACCCGAACAAUUUAACUCACAAAGUUCCAAUACUUAUUACUUCUCCGAAUUAAGAGUAUGAUUUUGCCAACUCACAAAGUCAGAUCAACAUUAAGUCAAAAAAGACGUCGUUUGAUUUAGUGUGGUUAGACGUACAAUUGGAAUUCCGAAAGGAAUGUUUCUAAUCGGUUUUCUGUGAACACAUUGGCGUGCCAAGUGGAGAUUGUUGUUUGGUUCCGUCAAGGGAAGUAGUAAUCGGAUUUAAAUAUCCCACGCGGUUGAGGGCAUUGGUUCGAGCUAGGCUCUUCUAGAACGCAAAGCUGCCGGAGUUCUAAAUCACGAACGUUUCGUGGUUGUUCGAUCGGUAAGGGUUAGUUAUUGGACGUUCCAUAACUAAUUUACAAAAGGAAGAGUUGGUGUCCGAGGCGUUCUUGGUAGCUAUAACUAGCUUAUUGGAAAAGAGGAGUUCAUCCAAUUUCGAGGAUUGGUUCAAAGACGAGGAAAAUUCAUGCCUAAAGCUGAACUUAUUCUAAUUAAUUUUUCUUAAUAUUUAUUUCACUGUUUUUAUUAUUUUGUUUUCAACUUUUUCUUUUCAUGCAUUUUAUUUAUUUAUUUUCAGGACUUCAAAUUUUAUCCCCCUGAAUUUCUUGGGCACGACAGCUGCCGCUACAUAAAUCUGGUCAAGAGAGCAACAAUUUAUAGUAAACCAGUCUCUGAGGGAUCGACCCUACUCCCUAUACUACAUAAUUUGCAAUUUAAGGCGUAGGUUUAUAUUGGUGGAUUCGACACCCAUCACCUCUCUUGAGCUCUCCAAGCCUUGUUUAUAGGAAAAGGCAGUCUAGUUUGCUUACCAAACUGACAGGCUUCACACACAUCAGUUUUAGGCUCGAUCUUGGACAUGUCCUAGGCUAGGCUCAUCUUGUGCAACAAAACCUAUGACUUAUAGUUCAGAUGCCCCAACCUCUUGUGCCACAAACUUGAUUCAUUGCCAAGGCUAUAUGUGCCUUUGUUUCUAACAGAUUCACAUCUAAAAUGAAAUAUCUAUCAUGCAUGGCUACUGUUACUAACACUUGAUCAAAGGAAUCUUUGAUUACAUAAGUGUUUUCUUCAAAUAUAAGAGAGUACCCCUUCUCCAAUAGCUGACCAACACUUAGCAAAUUUUGAUCAAUGUCAGGUACAAAAAGAACUUCUGAAAUGGUUUUGUUACCUGACUAAGUGCAGAUCACAGCUUGCCUUUGCCUUUGGCCUCGAUGAACUCUCUAUUCCCAAUUCUGACUUUGGACACAAAGUUGGUGUCUAGCUCCUUAAACAUGCUUUUAUCUGGAGUCAUGUGAUGAGUGCAACCACUGCCAAUUAGCCAAUCUUUUCUGACUUUGCUCGAACUUGCAAAGUAGGAGGCAGUAAAGACAUGCUCUUCUUAAGAAUGUACAUCUUCAAUAGCUUGAGCUUGAUUUUGUUGUUAUGUUUGUGCCUUUGCCUUGUUCUUGUAAACUUUUUCAAUGUGGCCUAGUUACUUGUAACUCCUACAUAGAAUAUCUAGCCUGUACCAGCAAUAUUUUUCUAAGUGAGUGGUCUUUUUACAAUGAGAGCAUGGUGGAAACUUCCUUUUAACAGCAUCCUUCUUUCCUUUUUCUUUCUUUUCUGUCCAAGGCUUCUUGCAUUUGUAAUUUAAACUCAAGCUUAAACUUUCUCUAUUCUUGGCCUGAAAAGCUCCUUCAGAAUGCUCCUCCAUUCUAUUUGCUCUUCUCUGCUCUUGUGCAUAGAGAGCAUUUAUCAGCUCUGUCAAGAGAAUAGCUGAUAGGUCCCUCGAGUCUUCCAAAGAAGAGAUUUUUGACUCAUACUUCUCUAGUAGAGUUGUUAUGACUUUUUCAACUAUCCUCUUGUCACUAAACUCAUCUCCAAGCAAUCUUAUGUUAUUGACUGUGGCCAUAAUCCUGUUAGCAUACUGUUUGAUGGUCUCAGACUCCUUCAUCCUCAGAUUCUCAAAGUCCCUUCUCAAGUUAAUCAGCUGUUGUUGCCUGGUCUUGUUUAACCCCUGAAACUCUUCUUUGAGUCUGCCUCAGGCCUGCUUUGGAGUGUGACAAGCCAUUAUUCUUGUGAAGAUCACAUCAGAAACUCUAUUUUGAAGGUUUGAAAUAGCCUUAUACUUUUUAGCACAGUCCUCAUUGUGCUGCCUGAUUUGAGCUAUUGUUGGAUUAGCUCCUAGAGGUGGUGGCUCUGUGUCAAUUUGAACAACACUCCACAGGUCAUGAACCUGUAGAUAUGUCUUCAUUUUUACAGCCCAAAUGUUGUAGUUUUCGCCAACAAAGAAAGGUGGAGAUGGUGGUGAAAAACUCAUCAUUUUGCAGUAACUAUACAAACCAACAAAGACAACUUCUGUUUCUUUUCUUUCAGGCACGAAUCACUUACACAAACCAAUACACAUUAAAGGCCCUCAAAGAAGACAGGCUAUCGAUACCAUUUGUUGAGUUUUUAAUCAAUAACUAAAUAUCAAAAAUACAGUUUCAUAUUUGAAGGUUGAAAAAACAGAAGAAAAAGGAAUGGUGGAUGAUGAAGAUGAAAGAUUUUCUUCAUUACUUGAAUAAUUACAAAGACCAUAUACAUAAGUAGCUCAAAUUACAUUGGUUAAAGACAAAGCUUGCUUGUGCAAGUAUCUAAGCUGUUAAAUCAACUUAAUGACAAUCUAAAUGACUACUAAAUCAACAAAGCACAUGAUUAAACCUUAGCUGAGCAAACAAAAAUUAUUACAACACAAACUAGCAAAAGUCAACUAUGCAAAAGCUUUACAGUCGAAUUACGCCAUGGACAUUAGCAUGCUUCUAUUGUUUUCCUAGUUAUUUACAUGCUGAUGCUAAGUAGCUUAAAUGCUUGCAUGCUGCUGCUAUGUUGCCACCUUUUAACAGACAUCACAAACUUGGUAGGAGAUUAUUUGGUCCCUUUAAGGUCCUACACUGUGUGGGGCAAGAGGCUUACAAGUUGGAUUUACCCACCCCAGCCAGCAUUCACCCUAUCUUCUAUGUGUUCCUCUUUCGAAAAUGCAUCGACAACCUGGAACACUAGGUCACCCCACUGCAUCUUGUGGACGAUACCAACACAAUGAUUUUGAAACCUAUAGCGAUUUUGGAUAAAAGAGUCAUCGACUAAUCUAGCUAUUUGAUUAACCAGUUACUUAUUUAGUGGGAUGGUCUUCCCCCUAUAGUAGCUACUUAGGAAGCUAAGGACCACAUCCUAAAGUGUUUCCCUGACUGGAACCUUGAGGACAAGGUUCUUUCAAAACAGAGAGUUACUGUUAUGAUCGAGCCCCACGAGGAGUUGCCUACUGCCUCAAUAAUUCCAUGAGAAGAUCAACCAGAACCCAUUAACCAGGGCAUGGACCAGCAAAAACUAAGGAGACAUUCACGCAAAGGAAGUUUCCAAAGAAAUAUGUUGAUUUUGUCAUUUAGUUUCAUGUCAACAUCAUAAUAGCGGUUUGGAAGGCUAUAAGAUGACAGAGAAAAUUUCUAGUUGGUAUGUUAUUGUUAUCUUGGAAAUCUAAUUUCUGAUUCCUCUCAUCCAUAUUAUUAUGAAUAUUGGCUAAGUUUUUCUAAUAUUUAUAGUUGAGCACGAAUAUCAUACACUAUUCUAUUGAUAUUAUCACACUUUUGUAUCCUUUGUUCUAUCUAUCUAGGCACAUUACACCAUAUCGAACUUGAAGAUCUAAAUUUUAUAUGAGUUAAUUUAAUAGAAUCAAAUAAAUUUUAGGAUUAAAUUGAAACAAAAAUAAAAACCAUAUGAUAGUAAUAAUGAGGAACUUAAAAUUUUGCUUAACACAAGUAACUAUGUAAUAUUUCUAAAAAUUAGCACACAAAUUAAAAAAAUUACAAUUAUUUAAUAUCAUUUACUAAAUUUUAAUUGUUGGCAACAACUUUUUCCAAAUUUAUCUACAUAAAAACCAUUCUCUAUUUUAUCUCAAUUUACAAUUCUUCCACCGAAGAAGAAUUUUGUUCCCAUGAAGAUUCAAAAGUUCAAAGUAAGUUUUCUCAAUAGCUAACUCACACAUAUAUCUUUUAAUUUUUGUUAUUACGUUUAACUAGUUUUUAUUUAUUUAUUUAUAUUUCCAAUUUUUUGCGUUAAUACUUUUGUUCAAUUUAAUUUUUAUUACUCUGUUUUUUUGAACUUUUUUAGUGUGACUUUAACAGAAUAUUGAAAUCAAUUAGAUUAACUUGACACCCAACUUUUAAAAGGUAAAAGUGAAAAAUAUUGGUAGUUGUAGAAAUAUUGCUAUUUGUUUUAUGGUUGAAGCAGAACUUUUAAAAGAUAAAGGUAAAUGGAUUACUGAGUAUAGUAGAAAUAUUGGUAUUUGUUCUGUAGUUGAAGCAGAACUUUGGGCUAUUAUGGGUUAGAUAUAGCAUGGAGGAGAGGAAUAAAAUAACUAUUAGUAGAGAGUGACAGUUUAGUUGUAGUAAAUACAAUUUGUGGUCAAUAUGAGGAGGUUGGAUCGAACUUAGUGCGAAUUAUCAGAGAAUAACUAACAAGGGAUUGGCGCAUAAAAGCAUCAUAUACUCCAUGAUCAGCGAAUAUGAUUGCAGAUUCUUUGGUAGAGUUAAGUAAGAAUGACUCUAUUGGUCUGAAAAUUUAUGAGUAUCCUCCUAAUCAGAUUGGUAGGGGUGUGUUACAAGAAAGCAUUGGUGACCACUACAAGUUUAAUCAUGGCUAGUUGUAAUUAACUUCUUUAUUUACAAAAGAAGAAGAAGGUAAAAGUGAAAAAUUACAGCUACAAUACAAAAAAUAAAUGCUAACCAAAUCUAUAGGAAUAAAAGAGAUAUUAACCAAUUUAUUUUGUUGAUUAGUUUCUUUUAAAUAUGUUACACCUAAUAUUCACUAUUAAUUUUUUUAAAGAAAUUAUAUUUCCAUUUUGAUUAUUCUUUAAAAAAACCUUAUUAAUUACUUAGGUAGUUUUCUAAGAAAUCAAUUUUAAUAAACUCCUAAAUUAUACUAUAAAUACUUUUUUUAACUCAUAGAAAUUUAAGCAACUUCAGUAAGUCCUAAAAAUUAUACAUUCUUUACUGGGUAAAUUAUAAAAAAAAGAAGUCCUAAAAAUUAUACAUUCUUUACUGGGUAAAUUAUAAAAAAAAAGUCACUUUUGUUUUCCUCGCAUUACAUUUUAGUCAAUUAUGUUUGGAAUGUUACGUUUUAAUCACUUAUGUUAUUUUUUUGUUACGAAAUGGUCACUCUACCGUUAAACUCCGUUACCUCCCUAACGACGGUACUAGGUGGCAGUCCAAAUGAGUUUUAAAUGCCAACUCGGAUGUCCAAUUAUUGGUAUGAAAAUAGGUUUUUAAUUAAAUAAAUUUAAUUUAGACUACCAUGUAAGACAUCCAAGUUGGCAGUUAAAACCCAUUUAGCUUAACGGUAGAGUGACCACUUUGUAACAAAACAUUAACGUAAGUGACUAAAACGUAACAUUUCAAACAUAAGUGACUAAAAUGUAAUCUGAGGCAAACAAAAGUGACUAUUUUUGUAGUUUACCCUUCUUUACUCGAUAUUAAGGCAAAUUAUCAAGAUUUAAUAUCAUUUUUUUAUUGUGAAAUGUUAUGCCAUUAUUGCAUUCUGUGGAAAUAUUUUAAUUAAUUUACUUUUUGGGGGGUAAAUAAAGGAAAUAGAAACUAUUACAAACAUCUCAUUCAAUCCUUGUCAAUCCCUCUAAAUCAUCAUGAAUCAACUUCAAAACAUGAGAAGUUGGCUGUAAGAAUUUGUAAAAACCUAGCUCCCAUAUAAGGGCUUGUUUAGCAAAAGCAACUGCAACCCUAUUACCUUUCCUGUUGACAUGUUGUAUCUUCACUUUGUAUUAGUUCUGAAUCAAUUAUUUAACAUCUCAAGUCAUUGCAUAUCGAUAUGCAUCUUAUAAUUAAUUAAUUUACUUUGACUAUGACAAUUUGCAGCAAAAAAUUUAAAAAUUGUGUUAUGAAUAAAAUCCACCUUCAUAAUAUUUAUUUCAUUUACGUUACCUUAAAAAAAGUUACCACAUUUAUAACACUUAUUUAAGAAAUAAAUUACAACUCUUAUUGUUGUCUUUGAUGACGAAAGCAUUGAUUCAGAAUUGAAUAACUUGUUUAUCGUGCUUAUCCCUAAAAUUCAAAAUCUUGAGGGCUCCGCUCACUUUCAACCUAUUAGUUUAUGUUCUGUCCUUUACAAACUGGUUAUGAAGGUAAUUGCAAAUAAGCUUAAGGUGAUCUUUUCGAGAAUUAUAGCUCCCAAAUAGACUGGUUUUGUAGCAGGACAAGACAUCACGGAUAACAUCAUCAUUGCACAAAAGGUUAUACACUCUAUGAGGAGUACGGAGAGGAACAUGAUAUGGAUGGCCAUAAAAACUAAUCUAGAGAAAGCUUAGAUGAGAUAUGAUGACGCGUCGCUUCAAGCUGCAAAUGUUCCUAAUUUCAUUCGUAAUGUUAUUACGUCUGCAAUUUCUAGCUCUACUAUGUAGGUUUUGUGGAAUGGGAUUCCAACUUCUAAAUUUCGGCCAAUUAGGGGCGUUCGCCAGGGAUGUCCUUUAUCUCCUUAUUUGUUUAUCUUGUGCAUGGAGUAGUUGGGCCAUAGAAUCUGUAUUGCUAUUGAUGCCGGUAAUUGGUCCCCUAUUCGAUUGGCUCGUAAUGGUCCACCACUAUCACAUCUAUUUUUCGCAUAUGACUUGAUUCUUUUUGGCCAAGCUGAGAAAUAUCAAGCUCAGGUAAUAAAAGACAUUUUCGAUUAGUUCUGUAGUUACUCAGAACACAAGACUAAAAUGAGGAAAACGAAUAUUUUUUUUAAAGGGGUUGAUGGCAGUGUAGGGAGGAGUAUUAGUAGAUUUUUUGGUUUUCAGGAGGUGAGUAACUUGGGAACGUAUCUGGGUGUGCCUUUUCCAUGAAAAGGUUACCAAUAAUACGUUAAGCUUUGUGGUUGAUAAGGUGCGUAGUAAAUUGUCUAGUUGGGAUGCAAGACAGCUCUCUUUAGCUGGAAAGUGACCUUAGCUCAAUCAGUUCUGCUUUCAAUUCCAAGCUAUUUUAUGCAGACGAUGAUGGUCCCCAAAGGCCUAUGUGAAGAGAUUAAGCGCAUUGUAUGGAAAUUCGUUUAAGGAUCUUCUAGUGGCAGUGCAAAGAUGGCCUUAGUAAGUUGGGAUUUGAUGCAUCAAUCGAAAACUCAUGGCGGUCUUGGCCUAAGGUGCUUGAAAGAUCACAAUACCUCUUUAUGAUGAAGGUUGGUUUCAAUGUUAUAUUAAACGGUGAUGCCCUUUGGGUUUGGGUCCUUCAAUCAAAGUACAGGGUUUCUAGCAAAUUGCCUAAGAAUUUAGCACGGGGAAGCUGCUCUUUUUUUAUGGAAAUCUAUUUCUAAGGUAUAGCCUUUUAUUCGUGAAAACCUUUUAUGAUAUGUCGAAGAUGGAAAUAGUAUUCAAUGUUGGCACAAAUGACCCUUGAAUUUCAAACUGUGGUCAUUUAUUUGUACAGAUUCCAUCUCUUUCUAACCUUAAUAUGGAUUGUCCUCUUAGUAGUAUGGUUGCAGGUGGCGGAUCAUGGAAUUUGGACAUUUUCAGAUUAUGGGUCUCAGAAGAGAUCAUUAACGAAAUUACAGGUGUUCCACCACCAUACCUCUCUUCAGGUCAUGAUAAAAUAACUUGGGGAGCUACUUCGACUAGUUCUUUUUCUCUUAAAAGUGCUUAUGAGAAUAUUCGAUAAGGUACAUUGAAUUCAAAAGAUCAGAUUUGGGAGAUACCUUGAAAUUUUAAAAGCCCUCAAUAGAUUUGUUUCUUUUUAUGGCUCACCCUCAAGCAACGCCUACUUACGAAGGCUGAAAGAGUAAGGCGAUGCAUUGGGAGUAGCAGCGCUUGUGGGUUUUAUGGGCAGGAUUAUGAGGAUAUGUUGCAUGUACUUAGAGAUUGCCUUGCUAUUAGAACUAUUUGGGAUAAACUCAUUCUAGAAGACAGACUUUCUAGGUUUUACACCAGUUCCCUCUCUAUUUGGAUGAUAGAAAACCUUCAGAAUCAUCUCAACAUUUCUUUGGAUGGGGUGGAUUGGCCAUGCCUCUUUGGGAUCAUUGCUUGGCAUAUUUGGAAGAGCCGGAACUUGCUUACCUAUCAAGGCAUUUCUUGGAGUAAUUAUGAGAUUAUUAAAAUUUCGUUUAGUUGGGCAAAGCAAUACAUUUUAAUCUCCAAAAAUGCACUUCAUAAGCCUUACAGUUAUCUCCACUCUUCACAUUUAGCUAGUAGUUGGGUUUGUUUGAGAACAGAUGGUUCGAUUAGGUGUGACGAAGGUUUUGCAACAGCUGGAGGUUAUAUAUGUGAUCAUAAUGGUGGGUGGAUCAUUGGGUUCUGCGGAUAUUUGGGUAAUUGCACAGUGACAGAGGCUGAGCUUUAAGGGAUCUUGGAUGGGUUAAUUCUUGUUUUGGAAAGACGAUUCGAUAGGGUCUCAAUCCAAACUGACAGUAUUGAGGCCGUUAACAUUAUUCAAGAUUACUCUUCUGGAAACUCUAAUUCUACCCUAAUCAAGAGAAUACUUCAAGUCCUAAAUAUGUUUAAGCAAUGGAAGAUUCAACAUUUGCAUAGAGAAGAGAACUCAAUUGCAGAUAGUUUGGCUAAGUCAGUUUGCACUAGAAGCUUCGGUUUAAGAUUGUUUGAGCAUCCUCAUUUGUUGAUCUAAUUUAAUUACUUUGUAAUUUUAAUUUUUCACAAAAAAAAAUUACAACUCUUAUUAUUCUACCAAAAAACAAAAUACUAUAUAUACCUUAUUCACCAAGCAUUUAAUCCUUCAAAAUUUUCAUCAAGAAAAUAUAUUUUAAAUGUCUGCAAGUAACAUUAUCAUACCUGUGCAAAAUUAACAUGCUUUUACAUCAUUUUAUAAUUUUUUCUACGAUUAAUAUUUUAGUAAUUCAAUUGUUAGAUUUAAUAAUAUAAUUUUAUUUUUCAUGCAUUUAAAAUUUAAAAUUAUCCAAUAUCUCUUUUAUUUUGACUUAAAAUAUUGUUUAUAUAAUAUAUAUUUAACAUUUGAAAAGAAAAUUUUGUAUAAAACAAAUAGUUAAAAAAAUUUCUUUACUUCAAACACUUAACAUGCAUUAUUUACGUGAAUAGAACAUGAAAUUCACGGGUUGAAUUGUUAAAAUAUCAAUUGUAAAAAAAGAUAUGAAAUGAUGUAAAACCAUGUUAGUUAGUGUAAGUAGAUUCCUCUAUAUAUAUGUUACAAGGUUUCAAGCUUCCGGUUGACAUGGAGCCUAACCUUUUGUGUGUAUUUUAACAUCAAUAAAUAUAUAUUUUAAAAUUAUAUAUAUUUAUAUCAAUAAUUUUGAUUAAUAUAUGGUUAUUUAAAUAAUAACAAUCGUAUAAAACAUAGAGUAAUCUGUAGAUGGCAUAGGAAACAAAUGAAUUAUUCUUUAAUUAAGAUAUUCAAAUACCAAAAUUUCGUGAUUGAUAUCAAUCAAUUCAGCUAUAAUUCAAGACUUCUUUACUCAAUAGAUCUUGCAUGCAAUAUAAAACUAGUCCUACUUUGAUUUCUUUGCAUUUCAAAAAAAAAAAAAAAAACUUUUGAUUUCAAGUAUUUUUUAUAUCAAUAAUUUUUCCCAGUUCUAAAUUUUCCAUGAUAUGUUUUGAAUUUAUUUACAUCUCAAUUGUUUUGACAACUAUUUUUUUCCUACUCAAUAUUUUUGAAAUAUUCAAACUUAACAAUGCUUUUUGAAAACAUGAUUUCGGUAUCACGUUUUAAUUCAUUUUUUAAAAGAAAAUGUUGUUUUUUUAAUAUUAAUCUUACAAAUUUUUUAAAUUUAAAAAGCAAUUUUUACAAGAAAAAUCCUUUUUUCUCAAAAACCCUAAAAUUUAAAGGUUGUACAAAUGAAUAAAAGAAGGGAAAACUUUCAAAGAUCACAGUCUAUUUAAAUUGGUCUAUAAAUAUAAAUUUUAAAAAAGUACUGUAAAUAUCCAUAUUCAUAAAUAAAAUUCAUAUUUCUUUCCUUUGUUUUUCUCUCGUUCUUUUUCUCUUUAUUCUUUAUUGUAUAAUAUACUUUUUUUUGUUUAUCAUAAGUUUUUCUUAAAUAUUAAAAAAAAUAUUUUAUAAAAAAAUAUUUAAAGCAAAAUCCUAAUAAAUGUCAAUAUAAAAAAGAGAGAUGUUUAUAAGGAUAAAAUGGUAAAUAUAAAUUUCUUUUAUUUUUUUCUACUUUCAACUUUACCAAGAGAGAGAUCGUUAAUAAUCAACUUACAAAUUAUAUUAAUAAUUUAAAAAGUAUUUAAAUUUUAUAUUUUUAUCAGUAUAUUAAAUUAUAUAGAUCUCAUUUAAGGAUUUAUUAUUAUUUUCUUUUUUUUUUUGGUGCUUUCCAUCAUCCAACAACAAAACCCAACACUUGAAUUACCAGAACUCUCUUUUUUCCAGCACUUUUCAAAACUUUAUUUUUUCUAAAACAAUUUUUAGACUGCUAAACCUAAAUCAUCAAAGUGCUUUAGUUUCUCAUCUUGUUGAUUCUAUUCUCUUUCUUUUUCUUUAUCAAUCAACUGACCCAAGUCUUCUUGGGAUCCAGAAUUCUGAUGCAAAGUUAAACCUUAAGUAUUGGAAUUUCCACUCCAUAUUAUAUUUACACCAAAAUCACAGCUGAAACUAAUGAAAUUUUCAGGAUAAAUCUAACCUCAAAGACAAUAGUACCCUGGUUCUUAUUAUGCACAUAUUUAGGUAAGCUACAAAGCAACACAAGUUUAUUUCCCAGAAAACAUAGAACCAAUAGAGGAAAAUAGCUGAGAAAGAGUGAACAGAUGGGCCCUGUGUCUGAGGAAGGAAUUUAUCAUAUACCUGGAUCGAAGGAUUUCACUGACAACUGGACACAUGUAUCUCAAACAUCAACAACAACAGAAAACACUUGUGCAGCAUGAAUAUUCACAACAGAAAAGAAGGAAAGCUUGUUUUAGGCAAGAAAAUAUUAAGAACAGCAACCAAUCUCAACAAAAACAAUAUAUUUUGUUUUUUUUAACAAUUGGAACGGAGUUUUUUUUAAGGGUUUGACAUAGACUCGGGAACUCAGUUUAACAACCAACCCACCAAAGAAGGGCAAAAACCCACCAAUAGGAUAUGAAAAUAACAGCGGAAAUACUCACGGUAAGACGAGUUUAUUUAUACAUGGGAGUGCUGAGGUAGAAGUAUGUACGACAUUAUCCCAAUAGAAAAUACUAUUCUAUUAUUGAGCCUAAAUGACCCAAACCCAAGUGCAUUUUUCCUGUAAAAAUCCCAUUACUGUGUUUUCACAGGAAUUGAAUUACGAUGCUUAAAAUUUGGAAUAAAAUUUUGGUGUUGACAACCAACUGUUUGCGACUGACUUGACUAGUUGCAAGAGUGAGGAUAUCAGAUAUGACACCGGCAAUUUAAUAUCAGUGUCAGCAGGAUGUAGAUGUCCACUACAGUCUUCAAAUUCAAGGGAUCUGCUUUAUUAUAUUUCAAUCUCGUCCCAAUCCACGGAUCUGUCUUCAAAUUCCAGCUCUAAUUGUAGAAGCCUGUUAUUUUGAGCUAGCCUGCUCAUUGCAGCAAGACCUGAAACAAGAACCAAUUAUUGAUGAUGAACAAUGAAAAUACAAUGAAACAAAACUUUAUUCCAAGAUUUGCUUAUAGCUGACUUUCAAAUCUUCAUCUAAUGAUUGCUAUUCUCUGGGUCAAUAUUACUGAUCUUAAAGAGUUUUGAGCGCUAAGUAAAACGCAGCAGCCAAAUUCUUUAGGGGAAACUAGAUCAUUGUUUCACAUUUUUGUAGUUGAUAAAGCCAUUCUUCCAUAGGAUAAUUUACUAGAACAACAGAGAAAAGAGCAUGUAAAUCACUAGGAACACUCAUUUCUAUCAUCUCAUGAAUCAUUGCAAGGUAAACCGUGGAGCUUUGAUCACUAUUUUUGUUUCCUCCUACCAUCCUAUAAUCAAGUGAACUAAUCAUCACUGGCAACCCCUCAUAAAAUUGACCUGCACAACGUGUGGAUUUUUUAGGGGUAGUUUACAUGCAUGAGAGACUACUAUAUGCAUACCGUCAAUUAUUCUGUAAAGAGCUGACCACCAUCUAUCUCUAGGAACUUGGUGUUGCUGAAGAAUAUCAUCUAUAACUUCAUCAUGCUUUCCCUCCAAAACACUCUGCAGAGUUAUGACUGCAUCUUCAGUUUUCUUGACGAUAUUGCUUGUAUCUCCAAUAUCAAACCUUUUAAGGUCAUUCUGUGAAGAAGUGAGGCUAACAGCUAGGGCAAAUUGUGCAGCAGCUGCCCAGCGGGAUGAUGCCUGCCAUCUCUUCCGACCAUCUAACCGUGUGGCAUCAUCUCCACUAAACCUAUUCUCCUCACCUCCAAAAAUUAAGCCUCGUAAGUAUUCAGCAUUUGCAGGCCCUGUACUUUGAACCAUUUUAGAGAAUGCACUUUCUUCAUUAGCUAGCAGUUCCUCUGGAGUACUGUGCUCUAGAACCUGAAAGAACAGAAUCAGAACUUAUCUGGUCACCAGUAAUUUCCCAAUCCAAAGAAGACUUAAUCAUAGCAUACAUAAAGUCCUUGUAUAUUUAAGCUAGACUAGCCAAGCCAUUCCAGGAAAACAGUCAAUCUUGCCUUAAGGAUAUUGUAGUGCUAGAAUAUGUCUAUUAAACAGGAGGGAAAAUCGAAGAAAGAAAAAGAACCAGAAAUAUCCAAGAAUAACAACGAGUGAGAAGGCACACCUGACCAGCAUCAAGCACAAGAAUCUGGUCGCAGUCAAUGAUGGUAUUUAGUCUGUGAGCAAUAACUAGCAUCGUGCAAGAUUUAAAUUCUUCACGAAUGGUUUUCUGGAUAAAAGCAUCAGUCUUAACAUCCACUGCUGCUGUUGCUUCAUCAAGAACAAGAAUCUUUGACCUUCGCAGCAAUGCUCGAGCAAGACACAAUAAUUGCCUCUGCCCAACACUGAAAUUCUCCCCACUCUCUAAGACCUUCAACAAGGAUGGAGCAGAAUUAUUUCAUCAACACUUCCCUUUCUCUUGUUUUAAAUGAUAUAUAAAAAAGUUUUUCCAAUAUAAAUGUUUAUACACCUUAAAUGUAAUCUUACUUUAGACACAAUGACCAAUUUAACAGGCACGGAGUUAUGACUUUACCUGACCACUUGAUUAUACUCCAACUUCCAUGAGCAUAGCUACAUGCUCAUAUUUUAUACAAUAAAUGACAAAGAAAAGAUGCCUAACAAGACGUCUAUGAUAAUUUAAGCCUGUUAUUCGACCAUUUUAAUCAUUUUUAUUUGUUUUAAGUUUUAACCGAGAGAUAACUCACUCGCAUCACUAUAAUUAUUUUGGCAGCCCUAAACACCAAAACUAGUUUUCUAGAUUAGCAGUUAGCUGUGGGAGAUAGUUCAACAAACAUACAUCACAAUUAUUAUUUUGGCAGUCCUAAUCAAUAAAACUAGCUUUCUAGAUUAACAAUUAGAAACCGUUUCCUUUUCUAUUUGAAUACCUCAGCAUCCAGACCAAAAGAGUUCCUCCUGAUUACAUCCUUCAAAUGCGCCCUUUCUAAAGCCUCCCAAAGGUCAGCAUCAUUGUGCUCAUUGAAUGGAUCAAGGUUUAAUCGAACAGUUCCUGAAUGAAUUAAAUAUGACUACGAAAAUGAGAAAUUUCAAUCGUAGGAGAUAUUGUAUUAGAAAAUAGUGAGGAAAUAAGCAGAAAUAUUUUAAAUUCUCACUCUAGAAUGUUUCUCCCUACCUGAAGGUAUUAUUAUUCCAACAGAGAAAAGUGAAUGCAUUGGUCAAAAUUUUGACAGAAAAUUAUUUCAGAAAACUUGAAUAAAAAAAGAAUUAUAGGGUUGACGAAGUAUUUUAAAGAUUAAGCCAAGCACUUCACCUAGUAUAAUCAAAACUUAAAGUGAGUACCUGAAAAAAGAACUGGUGAUUGUGGUAUAAUACUAAGAGCCUUUCGCAAAUCUGAGAGUCCAAAUCUCGAAAUAUCACAACCAUCGAUCAAGAUUCUUCCCUUUUCCAGUUCUACAAUCCGAAAUAGUGCAUUCAGCAUGCUGGAUUUUCCUGCACCAGUUCUUCCAACUAUCCCUAUCUUUUCACUUGGAGAAGUAGUAAAGGACAAUCCACAUAAGACUGGGGGAAGUUCGGGCCUAUACCGCAGGACAACAUCCUCAAACUGAAUUGAACCAGAUGAAGGCCAACCAGGUGGAGGACGGUGACUCUCAAUUACAUCUGGAGCCUCUGAAGGCAAAUUGAUAUAUGAACCCACACGUUCCACAGCAUUUAAGCUAUUCUCAGCUCGACUUGCUUGUCUUAAAACACCACUCAAUAAACUAGUGAUAUUU
rnacentral:lncRNA from 1 species